rnacentral:rRNA from 1 species
AGAGUUUGAUCAUGGCUCAGAAUGAACGUUGGCGGUGUGCUUAACACAUGCAAGUCGAGCGAGAAAGUUCCUUCGGGAAUGAGUAGAGCGGCGAACGGGUGAGUAACGCGUGAGGAUCUCCCCUUCAGUGAAGGAUACCCUUGAGAAAUUAAGGUUAAUACUGCAUACGACCGUUACUAACAUAACGGAGAAAGAUGGCCUCUUGCUGUCGCUGAAAGAUGAACUUGCGUUCUAUUAGCUAGUUGGUGGGGUAAAGGCUCACCAAGGCGAUGAUGGAUAGCCGGCCUGAGAGGGUGAACGGCCACAUUGGAACUGAGAUACGGUCCAGACUCCUACGGGAGGCAGUAGUGAGGAAUAUUGCACAAUGGGCGAAAGCCUGAUGCAGCGACACCGCGUGAAGGAUGAAGGUCUUAGGAUUGUAAACUUCUGUUAAGUGGGAAAAAAGACUCGUUUCAAAUAAAAACGAGGGAUGAUAAAGGACUAGAGAAAGCAUCGGCUAACUUCGUGCCAGCCCCUUUAAAGUACA